AACGAACGCUGGCGGCGUGUUUAAGACAUGCAAGUCGAACGAGGAGAUACCGGUAUUUAUAUUGGUUGAUCCUAGUGGCGCACGGGUGAGGAACACGUGAACAACAUGCCCUAGAGUGGGGGAUAGCCCGCCGAAAGGUGGAUUAAUACCCCAUGGUACCUUCGGGUUAAAGGUGGCUUCGGCUGCCGCUCUAGGAUUGGUUCGCGCCCUAUCAGCUUGUUGGUGAGGUAACGGCUCACCAAGGCUACGACGGGUACCUGGUUUGAGAGGACGAUCAGGCACACUGGAACUGAGACACGGUCCAGACACCUACGGGUGGCAGCAGUCGAGAAUAAUUCACAAUGGACGAAAGUCUGAUGGUGCAACGCCGCGUGGAGGAUGAAGGUCUUCGGACUGUAAACUCCUGUCAUCAGGGAGUAAGACCUGGAGGUUAACAGCCUACAGGGUUGAUAGUACCUGAAGAGGAAGGGACGGCUAACUUCG
rnacentral:rRNA from 1 species